GUGGUCCCACCUGACCCCAUGCCGACCUCAGAAGUGAAACGCCGUAGCGCCGAUGGUAGUGUGGGGUCUCCCCAUGUGAGAGUAGGGAACUGCCAGGC
rnacentral:rRNA from 1 species